AUUGAACGCUGGCGGCAUGCUUUACACAUGCAAGUCGAACGGUAACAGGCCGCAAGGUGCUGACGAGUGGCGAACGGGUGAGUAAUACAUCGGAACGUGCCCAGUCGUGGGGGAUAACGCAGCGAAAGCUGCGCUAAUACCGCAUACGAUCUAUGGAUGAAAGCGGGGGACCGUAAGGCCUCGCGCGAUUGGAGCGGCCGAUGUCAGAUUAGGUAGUUGGGGGGGGAAAGGCUCACCAAGCCGACGAUCUGUAGCUGGUCUGAGAGGACGACCGGCCAGACUGGGACGGAGCAACGGCCCAGACUCCUACGGGAGGCAGCAGUGGGGAAUUUUGGACAAUGGGCGCAAGCCUGAUCCAGCAAUGCCGCGUGCAGGAAGAAGGCCUUCGGGUUGUAAACUGCUUUUGUACGGAACGAAACGGUCCUGGUUAAUACCUGGGGCUAAUGACGGUACCGUAAGAAUAAGCACCGGCUAACUACGUGCCAGCCGCCGCCGUAACAC
rnacentral:rRNA from 1 species